rnacentral:rRNA from 1 species
AGGUCUUGACAUCUCUUGCAUAGCCUAGAGAUAGGUGAAACCCUUCGGGGCAAGAAGACAGGUGGUGCAUGGUUGUCGUCAGCUCGUGUCGUGAGAUGUUGGGUUAAGUCCCGUAACGAGCGCAACCCUUAUCAUUAGUUGCCAGCAUUUAGUUGGGGACUCUAAUGAGACUGCCGGUGACAAACCGGAGGAAGGUGGGGAUGACGUCAAAUCAUCAUGCCCCUUAUGACCUGGGCUACACACGUGCUACAAUGGAUGGUACAGCGAGCAGCGACCCCGCGAGGGCAAGCGAAUCUCUCAAAGCCAUUCUCAGUUCGGAUCGUUCUCUGCAACUCGAGAGCGUGAAGCCGGAAUCGCUAGUAAUCGUGGAUCAGCACGCCACGGUGAAUACGUUCCCGGGUC